GGGUAUUUUGGUAAUUUUACGCUGUAAAAUAUCCAAUUUCUAGAAUCAUCUUAAGGAAUGACUAAAGGCAAAAGCGUUAUUUCGCUCGACUGGGAAAAUAAUAUCAGAGGCACAACAACAUAUGUCAAAAGAGAUCCAUACGUCUUUUUCACUCUUUUUUUAUGCUAUCAAGAAUGGUCUCUUCAUCAUCGUCAAGAACUUUUUGAUUCUCUUCAUCUUCACAACGGGUUACACUUCAGUUUUUAGAUUUGUUCAUCAUUUAAAUUUUGCCAAAUUCUUUGUACGUUUUUCAUUCAUCUACUUUACAUAAAUCCUUGGGUUUCAUUAAGGAAUCUAGAAGAGUAUAGAUGAAAGUUUCACUGAGCUGCAUGUCAAAUUGCUUAUUGAUUUCAUAUAUAUUCUUCUAUAUAUUUUCAAUCUUAGAUAGGUUCUUCAUCAGUUUUUAAGUUCUUCUGUCAAUUUUUGUUUAAUCUUCAUCUAUUUCUGUUAAAUUUUUUCUUAAUCUUCAUAAAAAAAAUUGUGUUAUUCACUUCUUCUGAUCGACUAUUCUACCCUGCAGAUCAAAUCUCUGAUUGAAUCUUCAUGAUCUACUCUAAUGGGUUUUCCAAUGUCGGUUGUUGAUAAAAUGUGGUCUCAGAGAUGAAAAUAUUCUUGUCUUCAUGUACGAUGACAUUGCUUACAAUGAAGAGGGCCCAAGACCAGGAGCUAUCAUUAAUAGUCCUGCUGGAGGAUGUUUACAAAGGACUUGCUAAGGUACCGGAAAGAUGGGAGUGGUGGUCCAAAUGAUCAUAUUUGCAUAUUCUAUAGUGAUCAUGGUGGCUCUGGGUUGCUUGGUAAGUAGCUUAUUUAUGCCUCUUUUUGGUUGUUGCUUUGCUUUCUAUAACUUGCGCUUUAUACUAAUUUCUUAAUGAAGGCUUAAAUCUAAGUCUGCAACUCGAUUAUUUCACAUCUAUUGAAUAUUAAUGACCAUUGUCUCACUGCUUUUUACUGUUUGAAAAAAUUGAUAUUUAUUCGUUCUGUAUCAUAUGUAAAAGAUUUAUCAGAGGUAAUGUGAACUGACUGUAAUUUGAGACUUUAAAUGGUAUUAUGUAUUAAUGAAGUUAAGAUGAGGAUUGUGGAGAUGUGGUCCAAUGAAUAUUCAAUGGCUACAUUGGCAUGUUAAGUCCACAUUUUCCUCCGACAUACAUUUUUCUUCUCAUAAACUUGGAUUAGGGAUCACCUUUUAUUGAGAUGAAUGCGUGGUUAUGGUAAUUAUUAGAUAAGCAUUAAUGUAAAUCAGAAAGAAUUUACAUAGUUUUAUCAGCUGACUAAACAACAUAAAAGCAAAUUUCUGCGCAAGAAUUUUGACUCCAUACCAAAUGCAUGGCAUCGGUGGUUUUUCUAAUUGCAAUCCUAUUCAUGGAAAGUUCUCAUUUAACAAUUAUAUUAGCCAGUGAACAUCUUUCUCAAUAGAAUAAUUCAGAAAUCUAUAUUUUUCACGCGAGUCACAUGAAAAAAAAAUACAUGAUUGGCACCGGUACUCACUUUUAUUUAAUGUGUCUGCAUGCAUAAUAUAUUCCUAUGGAAAUGUCUUCAAUGAUUUCGCCUCUAGAAUAUCACCAAAUGAAGUAAAGGCAUUGGAAGCAAAGGUAGGCUUUAUUUUCGUAAGACCUCAAAGGCUAUUGUGAGUACAAACAACUCAUUGUACAAGUUUCUUUGGAUUGCACCAAAAUUUAGGCUUCUGGAAUACGUCAAACUAUGGUGAGGGCGUGUGAAGUACACACAUCUCACUUUGUUGAUUCCUUGAACAUAAGUGUGUAAAUGGGACAUGAAAAUUAGAGUUGAAGGGUUUAAAUGGAACAAAGUUGAGUUGAAGUGUCAAAAUGAAAUUUAGGGGCAAGUUUAACAUCUUGUUUGGAUGGUUGUUAUCUGUUAUAUUGUAUUGUAUUGUAUUGAUUCUUCAUUUAAAGAUAAAGGAAUGUAUUCUCUACCUGCCGAAUGGAAGGGAGGGUGGAAGUUUAAUUUCACGACAUGUACAACAAGCUCAUAGAGCAAGAGACUUCUUUUGUGUUUGAUGGUGGGACACCAUUAGAUGAGAAUGGGCUGUGUUUUGUACUUAGAUUGUUGCAUUUUCACAUUCAUGUUUCGGAUCUGAACCCUGAUGUGCACAUGGUGCUUGAUUAUAUGUUUAAAUGGAUUUAAUGUCUGAAUUUCAUUUUAAAUGGGAUUUCUGAAGAAUAGUGUGUUAAACACCAAUAGUUUUUUUAAGAAUCUCUUUUUGUUGAAGUAAUAGGUAAUAUGUCUAGGUCAGCCAUUGCGUCACAAAAAUGACGUUUUUAAUGGGCGAGAAGAUUUUGUCUUCCACAGAGACAUUACAGUGUAGAGACAAUAAGAAAAUGUUAGCUUUUCUAUGAUACCUACAAUUAGAAGAAGCUAGACAAAUGAGGCUUUGAGGAUAAUAACUAUUGAUAUGAGAAGGCUUAAGGUAAAGAAAUAUUUUGCAGUACAUUGAUACAGGUUCAUAGUUUUUGACUAUAAGCCAGAGAGGAAAUAGUUGGAAGAAAGAGCAACAAAAGCCAAUGCAAAAACAAGAGUCAUUUAGAAGCUCCCGCUUUGGGAAUGGAGGUACUUAUAUUUUGAAGAGCUUCUUGGACUUUUAGUUAUUUUGAAUUUUUCAAAAUAUUAUUACACUUCUGUGAAUAAGCCUUAAGUUGAGGUGUUUAUUGUAGUACGAAUGAAAACUUGAAGCAGUAAUUUGGAUUUUCAUCUGACAAUGAAUAUGUGAACUCCCCUUAUGAGGACGUCCCUUUGUAGUUUGGGCUAAGCAAAUACCAAAUCCAACUACUAUUGAAAUGUCUGAGCCAUUUCAGAAAAUGAAUGUCAGCUUAUUACUGCUGAGUAUGCCUUCAAUAAUGUCUCUGUUUUGCAACUAUGGAGUUUAUAAUAAAGCUUAUAGCAGUUUUAGAUUUGCUGCUCGCUUUUUUUUUGCAAGUGCUCGUAUAUCUGUUAAGAGCAUAGUCAAUUGAGCAUAAGAGAAAUUCUAAUGAUGUAUUUAUUGUAGCAUUUGCAUUUCUGGAACUUUUAUGUAUUUAUAAAAAUAGUUUAGCAAUAUAGUAUCCCGUUGUUUUUA